GUAUUUUUAGUAGAGACGGAGUUUUUUAGUAAAGACGGGGUUUCACUGUGUUAGCCAGGACGGUCUCCAUUUCCUGACCUCGUGAUCCACCCGCCUUGGCCUCCCAAAGUGCUGGGAUUACAGGCGUGAGCCACCGCACCUGGCCUAUUAAAUCCUCUUUAAGGUGGAAUAUAGUUGACAAGCCGACAUCAGUCUCCAGAGUGAAUCCAAGGAGUGGACCCAAGACAUUUGUGUUCUGUGAUGUGGUGGCAUGUUACCUGUCAUCUCUGAUGCAUAACUCCUAAAGUGUUUGCGUCUGGGGCAGUUGUACAGAUUGCAAAGGAUAAUACUCAAGAUGUCCUCCAAGGCCAACUACUCAUCAGUUUAUUCAUGAGGAGCGUCAGAUAAUUAGGCAGCAGUCCAACAAUUAGGUUUUGUGGAACUUUUACUAUGUCAUCUAUUUAUUGGAAUUCCCUCUGGAUACCAGGACCCCCUCCAGCAGAGCUUAAAGUUAUAGUUACAGGAAGUACAAAUUCCGUAUGUGGAUCCCUGGAAGUGUGAUGAGAAGAACCACUGUUUCCAAGAUCUAUUUAUUCUAUUUAUCAGGCCUAUAAAAUCAUGUAAUGGCCAUGGCUUCAACUAGACUCCACAUCUUGAAUCACAGAACUCAACGAAUGGCAUCAACUACAAGCUGGUAUUCUGCUAUACAUUUAAGAGGCCAUUUUAAUAUUCUAUUAGUCUAGCAGCUUCUAAGUGAUGAGGGAUAUAGGGGGACUGGAGGAUCCCGUGCUCACUUCCUUUUCUGUAAAAGGAGCUCUUUGAUCCAAGGUGACAUGGUAUGGGAUCCAAUGACAAUAAAUCAGUUAUUCUGUGAACCCUGAUCAAAACUUGACUAAACUUUUGACAGUUAGGUUUUUUCCUGACCACAGACUCCUCCC
rnacentral:lncRNA from 1 species